UAUCAUUCUUGUUUUUUUCUCUCUCUCACCACUGUUUCUCUUAUCGUUUUUAUCUCUGUGCAAAAGUUUCUCGUUUCAUUUCCAAAGCACCUCCGAGAUCUGAUAUGAUUUCAGCUUGAAAUCCAGAAACCAUAGCCUUUUACUUCUAAACGAUGUUAUAAUUGAAACACACAUCAGAAAUCUUGAUUUAUAUCCUUACCUUCGAAGAUUUCGCAACCCUAGAAAAAAAAAUUCUUAGAAAUCGCAAACCCAUGUAUUAGAAAUAUGAUUGUUGAUUGUGCUUCCAAUAUUUGGUAUAUAAUCAGGUAAAAACCCAAAUUUUGUUGUAUGAGUAGUUGAUUAGUAGUGAUUUGUAAAAAUGAAAAAAUCAAACGCAAAGCCAUAUUUCAAAACCUAAUCCUAACCCAUCUAAGAAUCAAAGCUCAUGUGAAAAUCAGAACCGUAAUCCUUUCAUAUCCCUAAUUCUUUAACCCUGGAUCUAAUUAAUUAUUAUCCUAAAGUCUAAAGAAAACAUCAUCUUACAUUUUUCAGAGCUGAAGAGUACACGGUGAAGACUUCACAAGUUUUACAGAUACUGUUUGUGUGCGGUGUUGAUUGUUUUUAUUAGUGAAGGUGGUAUGUGUUGUUGGUUAGAGUCGGUGGUGUGGGUGAUUCUGUUGGUUGUGGUAGCAGGUAUUGGUGGUGUAGUAUGCUAUGAGAAUGGGUGGUGGUGGUGAUGCAGGUAGUGGUUUGCUUCUUAUUGUUAUUAGGUGGUUUGGUGGUGGAGUUGGUGAUUCUGCAGUUGUUGGCUAUGUGGAUCGUUACUGGUGUCUUUGGUGGUAGCUACUAAUCUUUGUGUUAAUGGUGAUAAUGGGAGUGGUGAAUGGUUCCAAUAGGAACUUAGACGUACAACUUAUGCGCCUCAUACUCCCAUGUGUUUAGGAUCUUAGGCUCUUAGCCAUAUAAGUAGGUGGUGUUAAAUGAUAGGUUUGUGUUAAUGAAGUACUCACUAUCCUCUUGCUCGUUAUCUAACUGUUAGUAGUUUCUUCGCGUCUUUGUAAUCUUUCAGUUGUUAUUGUUGGCUUCACUAGUGUCUAAAAUUUUCACUUCUGGCAGUAUAUGUACAAGCAAGCCUUGAAUCUUUGUAAGAUUAUUCUCAAGCAAACCAUGACAAGUUCUAGCGGUUCUUUAUCCACUUCAAGCCGGUCUUCCUCCCCAAAUUUCGUGAACGUAUCAGCAAUUAAUGAGAAUGAGGUGAAAUUCAAAAUUACUCUUUGCCAUUCUGCACUAGAUGAUAAUCGUGCUGCUCUUGUGGAGUAGUGCCCUCCGCUGAAGGUCAAUCACUUGCUGACGAGUAUUCCAGAAGUGCUCAAUACCUUGCGUAUAUUGGUGGAAAAGUUGGGUUACGGUAUGCUGAGAGUUGUGUUCAUGGUGGGAUCUGCUAAUUAAACAGGAGCAUGGUAAGUUGGUUGACAAAGAAAAUCGGACAACGGAGGGUCCUGUCACUAUAGGUGUAACUUCAGGUGCUUCUACCCAAGAUAAGAAAAGAUGCUAUGAAGCUGGUAAUUUAUGGAUGGAUUGGUCGAUUACAUCAUGUCAUUGUGCCCAGCUGCAGCAAAAGAAUCGAGGUACCUUGUAGAUGUUAGUUGAAACUUGGGAAAGUCUUGUAGUGUGCCAACAUACAAACUCCCACUAUUUUCUUGUUGCACUAAUCCUUAAAGCUAGGACUAAGCUAGUACUGUGAGCAUAUUUGGAGUAACAACUGGAAACAAUAGCUUCGUAGGAUUAUUUCUUAUGUUCCGGAUUGAGUUUCAUUGUAUUUUUUUCAAACUUAGUUUAUAUUAGUGAUUAUCUGAUCAAAGGGGGUCUUUUAGUUGAUCUACAAUGGUAUAUGAAGGUGCAGAAAUCUGCCGCAAUUAUUGUCGGAAUUUAUUUAUUUUUUAGUUGGAAUUAUCAUCAUAUUUUUUUCACC